AUUGAACGCUAGCGGGAUGCUUUACACAUGCAAGUCGAACGAGCGGCGGACGGGUGAGUAAUAUAUCGGAACCUGCCUGGUGGAGGGGGAUAACUACUGGAAAGGGUGGCUAAUACCGCAUACUAUCGGAGCGGCCGAUAUGGGAUUAGCUAGUCGGUGGGGUAAUGGCUCACCAAGGCGACGAUCCGUAGCUGGUUUGAGAGGAGGACCAGCCACACUGGAACUGAGACACGGCCCAGACUCCUACGGGAGGCAGCAGGGGGGAAUAUUGCACAAUGGGGGAAACCCUGAUCCAGCCAUGCCGCGUGUGUGAGAAGGCCUUCGGGUUGUAAAGUACUUUUGGCAGGGAAGCGGUAUCUGCAGAAGAAGCACCGGCUAACUACGUGCCAGCAGCCGCGGUAAUAC
rnacentral:rRNA from 1 species